rnacentral:rRNA from 1 species
GUGGGGAAUCUUAGACAAUGGGCGCAAGCCAGAUCUAGCCAUGCCGCGUGAGCGAUGAAGGCCUUAGGGUUGUAAAGCUCUUUCGUGGGGGAAGAUAAUGACUGUACCCCAAGAAGAAGCCCCGGCUAACUCCGUGCCAGCAGCCGCGGUAAUACGGAGGGGGCUAGCGUUGUUCGGAAUUACUGGGCGUAAAGCGCACGUAGGCGGACUGGAAAGUCAGGGGUGAAAUCCCGGGGCUCAACCCCGGAACUGCCUUUGAAACUCCCAGUCUUGAGUUCGAGAGAGGUGAGUGGAAUUCCGAGUGUAGAGGUGAAAUUCGUAGAUAUUCGGAGGAACACCAGUGGCGAAGGCGGCUCACUGGCUCGAUACUGACGCUGAGGUGCGAAAGCGUGGGGAGCAAACAGGAUUAGAAACCCCGGUAGUCC